UGCGGACAAGUUUUAUCGCAGAGUGUUGUCUCCACGGUCUUACAUACAGGUCUGGCAGCUCGGGUGGCGGGGGAAGGGUCCACUAACGUUACUCGUUUUUGCAUUUCACUUUCUGACCAUGGUGAGCGCAACGAUCUAGGGGUAUUUUUUAAAGGUACUAACGACUUGUUCAUGCUGAGAACAUAACCUUUAUUUUCCAAGUAUUGCUGUAUACGCUGUACAUUGUACCCUAGAUCGCAAGGCCUCUGACGGUCACAUUAAGAACUGCAAACACGGGUACUUUUAGCGGAGUCACCCCCACCACCAAAAAUUAGCUGGAGAUGCCAGACCUGUAUGUAAGACCGUGGUUGUCUCUUUUCUACUACUAGGGAAAGCGCAGUCCAUGCUCUGUCUAUGGUACCGACCAGAAACUCAUCCUGAAGGUCCACUGGGCUUUGACUGAGGGCCAGAAAAAUAUCGCAUGCUUCGAAGUGCCGGCGCAAAUAACGUAAUGCCAAAUUCAUAAAUGUAGCAAUCGUCCGCACUGCAUUCACCGGUAAUAAUUGUCACACAGUUGUUAGCGUUUUUAACAUUACCAUUACAUUUUUUCUCCAUUUAUACGAAAUGAUAUUCUUGCAACGUUUUCUUUUGAUUAUUUUUUUUUUUUUUUUUGUGUAUUUUAAUAUUGGAUAAUGGGUAAAAAAUUUGCAAAUAAGGGAGAGAGGGGAAAAAAAAGAUCCCAUGAAAUUCCACCAUGAAUUUUCUUUUUUUUUUGCUUUGAAAUCUCACCAUCACAGAUCUAUACGUAAGUAUAAGUAAUUUUUAUUACAUACCUACGUAUAAUAUAAUUAUAAAAUGUUAUAGAUGUGUAAGGAAAGUGGAAUAAAAGUUUGUAAAAUUUUC